rnacentral:misc_RNA from 1 species
UUUCCGUAGGUGAACCUGCGGAAGGAUCAUUAACGAGUUAGGGUCUUUUAGGCCCGACCUCCCAACCCUAUGUUUAUUGAACCUCUGUUGCUUCGGCGGACCCGUCUCACGGCCGCCGGAGGACCGCUGCGAGGCGUCCUCUGGCCAGCGUCCGCCGAUGGCCAACCCACUAAACUCUGAAUGAAUCGUGUCAUAUGCCUAAGUCUAUGAUUAAAUUAAAGCAAAACUUUCAACAACGGAUCUCUUGGUUCCC